rnacentral:rRNA from 1 species
UACGAAGGGGGCUAGCGUUGCUCGGAAUCACUGGGCGUAAAGCGCACGUAGGCGGAUCUUUAAGUCAGGGGUGAAAUCCUGGAGCUCAACUCCAGAACUGCCUUUGAUACUGGGGAUCUCGAGUCCGGAAGAGGUGAGUGGAACUCCGAGUGUAGAGGUGAAAUUCGUAGAUAUUCGGGAAGAACACCAGUGGCGAAGGCGGCUCACUGGGACGGUAUGACGCUGAGGUGCGAAAGCGUGGGGAGCAAACAGG